GUCUUGCUUGAGAUUCCUGUCUACCUGAGGCCUUCUAAAGCCUAGGUGAAGGGCAUAUAGCCUGGAGUCUCCUUGCAGGUGUUGUGAUACCUAUGUGGUACACUUGGGACAGGCUCUUUUAUGGCUACCUUCAAGGGGAAAAAAACUGCAAAGAUAGGAUGAAGAUAAUGGUAGCAAAAGCAAGACCAGAUCACCCCUGAAGACCAGUGGGAUCAGUGUGACUGUUUGAAGGUUAUGUUAUGGAUGCUGCAAAUACUCCUGUUUACAGAGACAUGUUUCCAGAAGUGACCAAAAAAGAGAAUGUUUGCCUCCAGCUCUCACUAAUGAGCUACAAAACUUUAAUAUUGAGGAGGAAAUACCUUUGAUUUGCUCAUUUGUCAGAUAAUAGCAUUCUCCUUUUAUUCACUUUGCUUAGUGCCAAGGUAGAGGAUUGUAAUUUGAUGUAAUGGGGGGUCCAGUGGUAUGUUGGUGGGUAAUACUGUAAUGUAGUUUCCUGCUACCACUUCACCCUGCUACAAUUUGCAUGGCUGAUGAGUUUCAGCACAGUUUGAAGCUAAUAUGAGGAGGCUGAGGUAGAAGGGAUGUGAACCGAAGGACCAUCAGGGGCUCUUAUGGAGAGGGAGAAGUUAUUAAAUAAGAGCAUUCUCUGAAAUGAGUGAUCAAAAAGUGGUAAUGAAGGGGGAUACUCCUAUGCAUUCUAAGAAAGGAGAAAGUGCAUAUAACUUAAGCAUUUUUAGCUAUGCAGUUCCAACUCCUGUUAAAUCAGAAAUGCAGUCUAAAUCGGUACUUAGCAGAAUUUUACCUUUAAGAAUGACUAUAUGACUUUAUCUUGUUCAGUAAAGAAACAAAGAGGGAAACUCUUGAUUGUUUUAUAUUGUAUGUGUUUUGGAGGAGUGAGCUUCCUGAAGAAACAAUAUUUCUUCCUGGACUGUGCCAUUAAAAAUGAACAAAAAACCCCGCCUAACGUAUUUUCACUUACAUUCCUGAAAAACUGAGUGUGUUUAGAAGAGGAUUUAGGUUCACUUGGAUAGCUGAUGUCAGCAUAGUUUAAAAAUGAAAGCAUAAUAGUCACAGCUCUAGAAAAUACAUCACAGCAGAGCACUACAGAAAAGGAAACUAAUCUAGCUCAUGCAGGAAUGAGAAUUCUUUCCUCCAAUAUUGAUUAGGAGGAAUAGCUACUGCUUGUAACCUUAAUUAUUCACAGCUAAGUUACCUUACCUUAAAUUUAAGGGAAAUUCAGUCUGUUCACUGAGAGGAUAGUGAUUUAGUGCAAUCCAAAUGUCACCAAGGCUGUCCCGAAAGAUCCCUGUUGUUGCAUCCCUCAGGACUCCCAAUUCUUUCUGAAAUGAAAGAUUUUACAGGCUGUAUGUAAAGCUUUAUAAAGCUAAGUGAUUUCAUUAAAAUAAACAUUGGAGGCAUAGGAAACUGGUGCAGAGUUUAAACUCUGGAUCAGAUCUGUGUUAUGCAGUAGUUACUGGGAAGUCUUGAAGAAUCAAGGAAUAUAAUGUGACAGCAAUCCCAUGUGACUGGUUCUGUCUCAGCUGUGAAGACUACAUCUGGAUACAAACUUGCUCUCAAUUCAAAACCUGUGCAGAAGAUAAAUGAUACAGGAGCCAGCUUUCAUCUGGCAAGUUUUGAGUACACUGAGUAAAAUUAGUCAUGAGCACAGCUUCACUGAACAAGAAAAUUGCUAUAAAAUAUUGCAGGUCUAUAAAAUCUAUUAAGAGUAAUGCAUUUCUAGGCUAGUUUCUGCAGUGCUUCUGAUAAUAGGCAACUCUAGUAUUUUUCACUCUGAGGGAAUUCUUGUUGUCUGUAUUAGUUGAGGAUCAUGAUUUUAUAUGCCUGAGCACCCAUGCUGCUCCUCAAAAUACAGACACUCCUGAAAAGUACUUUUGGAGUGGAUUUGUAAACAAAAAAAGUGUAUUAUGGAAAGAUUAAAGUACAGUUGUACUGAAAAGCCCAAGUAGAUAACUCCUCAUAGUCAAAGCAGCCUACCAUGUAGGCACGCAAAUGCUGUGGAAGGGAGUAUAAUAGUUAUUGCUUCCUAGUAGAAAUGUGUCAGCAUGAGAGUGUAUGGGUUUAGUAGUUUAUUAAUUGCACCUGAUGAUUCAUCCUUUUGUAUGCAUUAGAAAUAUUUAAGUGACAAUUUCCUUAUGUUUGAAUAAAUAUUUCCUGGUACUGGGUGUGUAGAGUAAGUCCCACUAAUGGGACUAAUAUUUAUUUUGCUAUAGCAGUGCUAAAUCUGCAUUUAUCCAUUCUCAGAAAUGUGCUACAGAAUAUUAUUAAAAAGAAUUAAUGAAAAAUACAUUGAACUGGCUGUUCUAAAUCCUCUUUCCUAUUUUAAGGGUGCCUGAUGCUGUUCUUUAGUGUGAAAUACGGCAGUGGACCAAUUUUUUAAUGAAAUGCAUUUUGUCUUGAGGUAAUACACUUUCCAUAGCUCGCUGAGAUUAUCUUACAUAAUUUGCAUAAUAAAUAAUGUGUACUCAACUAUGCUCAAGGACUGCUGGCAGAUGGGAAUUUGAUUUGUAAGAGUAUUUUUCAUCUACUUAGACUUCAGUUGUUAUCUGAGCAGGGUCCCUGUAUGAUACACUUGGUUCUUGUAUUUCAACAGUUUUUUUGAGUAAAAGUUGGAAU